UUAUGAGAACUCUGACCUUGAAGUGCUGAACGAGUUGGAAGAUUUAACUUGGUUUGGUUGGCUCUAAAGUCUCUCAUUGCAUUGUAAACUUGUCUCCACUGAGAUUUCCACAGGGAGUUUCGUCUGGAUGAAAGGAUUUCUGUGGAUGGGAUUGUUCGAGCAACUAGUUCAUCCAUUGGGGUCAUUUCCAUGCUGAACCUUUCUGAAUUUGAUGAUGAGUUGAAGUUAAGGCCCUCUGUUGUGUUCGGCGUGUUGAAGCUGGUUCUGCUGUCCACAGUGAAGAAAUUUAUUGUGGUUGGUCCUUGAGUUAAUGCCCAAGUUUCACUGUAGCUGGCUCGAUUGAGCGACCAAUUCAGAAUGAGUUGUUGGAUGAAUCGCCGAUCUCUAAGUGAGUCUCCAUUGAUGGGAAAAGUUGUUGCAGCGCUGGAGGGGAGGUUUGCACAGGGUGAGGAAGGUUCGAUUUUCUGGUACGGUGGUUUGGGUUGCUUUCGGGUUUUGUGUUUGGGUUUGGAUCUGAGAUUGAGGUAUCGGGAUGGAGGAGUCAUAGUUUUGCUCACUCUGUGUUUGAUGGAAUGUUUGUUGAGUGUUGGAGUAUUCGGCUCUCAACCAGGGUCCAAACAAAGGUCUCGUGGGGCUGGUUUCUUGAAAGUUGCAGAAAAUCUAAGAGUGACCUAGCCUUCCACAUGUAAAGCAAAAAUCAGAGAGUCUUUUAUACUUUAAAGUGAUCCAAGUUGAUAAACUUCCUCCAUGCUACCCUGAAAAUGGGGUCUUCCUCCACCAAAAUCAGAUUGCCUAAAGCUUUCCCUAUCUUAGUUGCAUUUUCUACAGUCAUAUAGUCGACUGGAAGCUCAUGAAUUUGCACUUUGAAAGCGAAAUGUGUCAAGCUUAUUUCUGCUAGUGUGAGACUCGGUGGCCAAGGUUUCAAAAUAAGUAAAUUGCCCUUGAAGUUCCAUGGUCCUUGGUUGUAAACCGGUUCUUGUCAUGAGGAGAUUGGAAAGUAAAUAAGAACAUGUUUGCUUCCAGUUCUUCAAUGAGGAAUUAUUGUAUGAAUGACCAGGCUGCUCUAAUGCUAGAUUGAAAUGCUGAUUUAUUUAAAGGUCUGUCUGCUACUAGCCUUCCCACGAGAAUGUUUUAUGAGAUGAUGUUUUCUUUUUCCGGUGCAGGUGACAGCUUCAAUUCUUGCCAUUUCCAUUCUGGGAGCUACUCGAAGUUUGGUGCAGCACUUUAUGCAAAAGAGGUGGUGAUUUGUAGGGGUGAAAACCGACCUCAUCGGCGCGGUUUUUGGGUAAA